CACGUUGCAUGACAGCAGGCAAGAGAGCAUGUGCAGGGGAACUGCCUUUUAUAACGAACUCGUGAGACUUACUAUCACGAGAAGAGCAUACGAAAAACCCGCCCCCAUGAUUCAGUUACCUCCCACUGAGUCCCUCCCACAACACAUGGUGGUUAUGGGAGCUACAAUUCAAGGAGAGUUGGAAACUGAACAAAGAUAAAAUGUGGAAUUUUCAUGUCAGUCUGUGAACAAAGAACAGGACUCAACAGAUGGUGCCUGCACUUCCAUUCAUUCAAUGGAAUCUCGCUCUGUCACCCAGGCUGGAGUGCAAUGGCGUGAUCUCGGCUCACCGCAACCUCCGCCUCCUGGGUUCAAGUGAUUCUCCUGCCUCAGCCUCCUGAGUAGCUGGGAUUACAGGCGCCCACCACUGCGCCAGGCUAAUUUUUGUAUUGUUAGUAAAGACAGGGUUUCGCCAGGUUGGCCAGGCUGGUUUUGAACUCCUGACCUCAGAUGACCCUCCCAUCUCGGCCUCCCAAAGUGCUGGGGUUACAGGCACAAGCCACUAUUCCUGGCCGGUUGAUUAUUUUCUUCUAUUCUGGGGAUAUUUUUAAAAAUCCAACUUCUUAGAAAUUUGAAAUCAGAAUUAAACUUUCAAAAAAUUACCAUGGCCUCAAGUUUUGGAUUAGAGAUAUAUUUUUAUUUACUCUAUCCCCAAUACAAAAUUUUAAAACCAGAUACCUUUUAGGUGCUCAAUACAAAUGUAUUAAAUAAAUAAAUUAAAUAAAUAUCAUGGAAAAAAGAAUCAAAAAUUCUCAUUAUUGUGGUAUCAAAAUUAAAAUCAAUUCAUCUUUAAGGCAAUACUUCUACAUAUGAAAUGG
rnacentral:lncRNA from 1 species